rnacentral:rRNA from 1 species
GACGAACGCUGGCGGCGUGCUUAACACAUGCAAGUCGAACGCGAAAGUCCCGCAAGGGAUGAGUAGAGUGGCGAACGGGUGAGUAACGCGUGGGUGAUCUACCUCCGAGUGGGGGAUAACGUCUCGAAAGGGACGCUAAUACCGCAUGACAUCCUGCCUUUAGAGAGGUGUGAUCAAAGCCGGGGAUCCGCAAGGACCUGGCGCUUGAAGAGGAGCCCGCGUCCGAUAGCUAGUUGGUGGGUAAUGGCUCACCAAGGCGACGAUCGGUAGCCGGCCUGAGAGGGCGGACGGCCACACUGGGACUGAGACACCGGCCCAGACUCCUACGGGAGGCAGCAGUGGGGAAUCUUGCGCAAUGGGCGAAAGCCUGACGCAGCGACGCCGCGUGAGGGAUGACGGCC